GACGAACGCUGGCGGCGUGCUUAACACAUGCAAGUCGAACGGAAAGGCCCUGCUUUUGCUGGGUGCUCGUGUGGCGAACGGGUGAGUAACACGUGAGUAACCUGUCCUUGACUGUGGGAUAACUUUAGGAAACUGGGGCUAAUAUCGGAUAGGAGCUCCUGCUGCAUGUGGGGGGUUGGAAAGUUUCGGCGGUUGGGGAUCGACUAGCGGCUUAUCAGCUUGUUGGUGGGGUAGUGGCUUACCAAGGCUUUGACGGGUAGCCGGCAUGAGAGGGUGAACGGGCACAAUGGGCCUGCGGUAGGGACCAGACUGGUACGGGAGGCAACAGUGGGAAGUAUUGCAGAGUGGGCGGGAGCGAGAGACAGAGGCGCCGCGUGCGGGAUGACGGCUUUCGGGUGAUGAACCGCUUUCGCAUGUGACGAAGCGUGAGUGACGGUAAUGGGUAAGAAAGCAACGGCUAACUACGUG
rnacentral:rRNA from 1 species